CUUACCACUUGGCAGUGGGAGAGCUGGCGUGAGGGAUGUAACAAGGAUUCUGCCACAUCACUGACGAUAGCCAGGACCAGCCAGAGGAGGUCAGUUGAACAGCUCGGACGUGUGGAGGCACAUGCCCCUGGUGGACCACGGUCCACGUCGCCUCCUUGGCCAAGGCCAGGUGAAGAAACAAGAUGGCUGCUCUGCUUGGAAAGGAGACAAAUCUUCUGCAAGAGGUCGAAGCAGUGGGUGGUGAAGAACGUGUGCGAGAAGCUUGUCUACCUGGCUGUGGAGUGCAGAAAGGAGCCAGAGUCACUGUCCCCAAAUCCAACACAAGCUGCCGUUAACCUAAACCAGCUGUUAUUACAAGAAGAGGUUCACCAGCUGAAGAACAUUUUGGAACAUUCAACCAACGCAACAUCCAUAUUCAGUUAGACUGAUGUUGUAGUAUGAUAUAGAAUACCGAGCAUGCUUACAACUGCAUUGUGGUAUAGAUAUUGUCAGCUGGUGUAUACAAUGGUGUUUUAUAUAAUAUAUUUUACAAGUGUACUGACAAGUGACAAAAUUAUUCCGUCUGCAUCAGAAACCAACAGUGUUGACUUCAACUUUUUGAUCAAUUCAUUAUGAUUGAUGAAUUGAUAGAAUUUAUGAAGGGGGCAAUCUAAUGUAGAGGUAGCCUGAAGAGUUCUGUUAUACUCUCCAGGUCUAUGCCCAAACAGUUUGAGCUUCUACUUUUAAAAAUCCAUCACGCCAGAAAUAAGUCCCUCACUGUUGCCGCUUGUUGUAGACCCCCCUCAGCUCCCAGCUGUGCCCUGGACACUAUAUGUGAAUUGAUUGCCCUCCAUCUAUCGUCAGAGUUCGUACUGUUAGGUGACCUAAACUGGGAUAUGCUUAACAUCCCGGCCGUCCUACAAUCUAAGUUAGAUGCCUUCAAUCUCACGCAAAUUAUCAAGGAACCUACCAGGUACAACCCCAAAUCCGUAAACAUGGGCACCCAAGAUAUCAUCUUGACCAACUUUCCCUCUAAAUACACCUCUGCUGUAUUCACCCAAGAUCUCAGCAAU